AGAGUUUGAUCAUGGCUCAGGACGAACGCUGGCGGCGUGCCUAACACAUGCAAGUCGAGCGGGGAUCAUCGAAGGAAGUUUUCGGAUGGAAUUUGGUGAUUCUAGCGGCGGACGGGUGAGUAACGCGUGAGCAACCUGCCUUUCACAGGGGGAUAACGCAUCGAAAGGUGCACUAAUACCGCAUGAGACCACGCUCCCGACAUGAGAGAGGGGUCAAAAGGAGCAAUCCGGUGAGAGAUGGG
rnacentral:rRNA from 1 species